rnacentral:rRNA from 1 species
GAUGAACGCUGGCGGCGUGCCUAAUACAUGCAAGUCGAACGCGAGCAGCAAUGCUCGAGUGGCGAACGGGUGAGUAAUACAUAAGUAACCUGCCCUAGACAGGGGGAUAACUGCUGGAAACGGCAGCUAAGACCGCAUAGGUAUGGACACUGCAUGGUGACCAUAUUAAAAGUGCCAAGGCACUGGUAGAGGAUGGACUUAUGGCGCAUUAGCUGGUUGGUGAGGUAACGGCUCACCAAGGCGACGAUGCGUAGCCGACCUGAGAGGGUGACCGGCCACACUGGGACUGAGACACGGCCCAGACUCCUACGGGAGGCAGCAGUAGGGAAUUUUCGGCAAUGGGGGGAACCCUGACCGAGCAACGCCGCGUGAAGGAAGAAGGAAUUCGUUCUGUAAACUUCUGUUAUAAAGGAAGAACGGCGGAUAUAGGGAAUGAUAUCCGAGUGACGGUACUUUAUGAGA